rnacentral:rRNA from 1 species
UAGGGAAUCUUCGGCAAUGGGGGCAACCCUGACCGAGCAACGCCGCGUGAGUGAAGAAGGUUUUCGGAUCGUAAAGCUCUGUUGUAAGUCAAGAACGGGUGUGAGAGUGGAAAGUUCACACUGUGACGGUAGCUUACCAGAAAGGGACGGCUAACUACGUGCCAGCAGCCGCGGUAAUACGUAGGUCCCGAGCGUUGUCCGGAUUUAUUGGUCGUAAAGCGAGCGCAGGCGGUUUGAUAAGUCUGAAGUUAAAGGCUGUGGCUCAACCAUAGUUCGCUUUGGAAACUGUCAAACUUGAGUGCAGAAGGGGAGAGUGGAAUUCCAUGUGUAGCGGUGAAAUGCGUAGAUAUAUGGAGGAACACCGGUGGCGAAAGCGGCUCUCUGGUCUGUAACUGACGCUGAGGCUCGAAAGCGUGGGGAGCGAACAGG